GCUCUCAGUCGAGCUCCGGUUAUAACGGUGGUGAAAUUAAAAACACUUCAGCGUCUGUACUUAGCAUUUUCUGGAGGAAGAUUUCAUAGAGCAGAAGAGUUUGGAGUUUGGCAAGCUAGUGGCCCUUUGGCUCACCAGUCUCCAUCGUUCCCUCUGUUAUCCCUGGAUACAGGGAUACCAGAACAGCGGUUGGGAAUCACUGGAUUGGAGCACAGUUAUGGGACGAAUCUGAUUGGCUCCUUGUGUUUUGGCUUGAUGUUAAUCCUGUCCGCUGGCGGGACUCGGCCUCUCUGGCUUUUCGUCUGAGAUAAACACUACUUCACCUAAGAGACUUGAGUAUCCAGUUCUUCGUUGACCUUCAGCAUUCAUUUGUUUGUCUUCACCUUUUCAGGUAAGCAAUUUAAAAAAAAUGCUUUUGUAAUGUUGAGAAACACUGAAAUUAUUAUUCAUAAAGAACUUUCAACCACUGUUCUGUCAUGUCAUGUAUAGUGAUAUACAAAAAUAUCUGAAGGAACGGUGUAUUUGGGAUAAUCAAUAUUAUUAGUAUUAUUCAUGUAUUUAUUUAUUUUUAAAUCAGAGAAUGGGGGGAAAAUAGAUUAUUAGUACAAAAACUAGUAACUAGUAAAAAAAAAUUGGUUACAAUAAUGUUCAUUCAUUUAUUGACGCUUGGUCAAACUCUCAUCCAAUUAAGUAUUGUUGUCUCAUUAACAUGUUGUAUUUAUUUAUUUUGUAGGCUAAAACCUGAGAAGCCAUCACCAUGUUGUUGUUUGUUGUAUUUCACAUUAUGCAGAUUUUUCAGCAUGUGGUCCUCAAUAUAUAGUAUAGAAGUCACUGCAUUUUCUGACUUUUCCAGGUUUCCUGUGUCCAGCAUCUUCAAGACAGACUAAGCUAACUUUUCAUAUUUUUUGCACAUUUAUAUUUAGGUUAGGUCAGGAGUAGAUUACGUUUAUAGUAGAGUAUUUAGUUUGUAUAGUUUAGCUUUUUAUGCUGGUCUAGGGACAGUUAAGUUAGCAAAUUAAUUUAGUUCAGAUCACUUACAGUUGCAUAUUAUUGUUACAAUUGGGUUAUUUUGUGAGUUAUUGUUGUACAGGCUAUUGUAUAUUGCAGGACCAAGUGAGACGAGGAAGACCACUGCUUCCAAGAUGCUGCUCAGAAAGUGCGUUGGACAAGUCUCGACCUUGCAGAUCCUGCCCCACUUAGCCCAACCACUUCCGACCAUGGGGUACCUCAAAGACCUCCGUCAACCAGCCGGCUGUGGAUGAUGGAUAACGCACCCACAACUCCUUCUCCAGUCUACAAGGUUCUGAAAAUACAGACACCCCCACAGUCCAAGAACAGCUGGAUGACCUCUGGACCCACUUGCCCCCGUUCACCGGUUGAAAAGAUAGGCUUUUUAAAUUGUUAAUUCUGCACAAAGUGAUACACAAAACAUUGUAUGUAUUCCAUUUCAACAAACACAA